AUGCCACGCCGCUCCUCCGUCGCGAACACCACCUGUGCCACUGGUCCCAUCCCCUCCGCCUGUAGUUCCUCUAACCGAGCACCAAAACGCCCCAUGCGGCACCUCCAAGAAGGGUACGACACACGCAGUGCCGCCGCCGUCCAAUCUAAGGAGAUUUUGGGUUUUCACCCGGGCAUGGGGUCAGGGUGGAGGGCAGGGACCUCGACAACGUCUGAAAGGAGGACAACGGCGACCCUGGUCGUCGCCACCGUCGGGAUGAAUGAGUCAUCCAGAGUUUCCUCCGGUCCGCUGGCACCUCCACCAGCCCCCACGAAUGCACCGAGGCCGACGACCGCGAUCUUAAGCCACAAAGUGCAGCGGGAGAGAGCCUGCAUCACGGAGGAGAUCCACCGGCACCUCACCGCCCACGCGGUCAAGACGUCGUCCAUCCACCCCCCGCGAACGUCGCCAGCCGAGGGCGCCGUCGCCAUGCCUAACGGGGCCGCCGCCCCAGGUCCAGGUUCCUUCACGAUGGCCGGAGUGGCGAGAUCCUCCACAAGCGACGAGAUUCGGCACCGCGUGGCCGACGCCAUUGCCCAAACCAGCCGUCGAUCGAUCCCGCCGCCGCCGGGAGCCCGCCCGCUGCCGGGAGUCCCACACCCAUGGAUCUGGGCGCCCGUGCACCGCCGCGAUCCCGCCGCCUCCGGGAUCCACCACACCAUCUGGAGGGCCGCAUCCCGCAGAUCAGGACGCCCGCGCCACCGGGGAUCCGGGAGAGAGAUGAGAGACCCUCCGCCGCCGCCGUCGCAUGCACGGGCUUUGCCCGGCGCCGGCCAUCGGCAUCGGCGGAGGGGGAGAACCGCGCUGGAGAGUUACUAG
rnacentral:rRNA from 1 species